GGUGCAAUCUAGUUCCUACAAUAAAUAUGCUACAGCCAACAUAUACCUCAAGGUUUCGAAUGGCUAGGAGAUCGAGUUAUGGUGUAGUCAAACUAUAACACACUCAAGGUGAACUGUCGAUGCACCUCAAGUCAAAGAACUAGACACACAGCUGCAGCAUCGAGCUAGUCAUCGACAAGAAGGUAGACUUCCUUAUGACUGC
rnacentral:lncRNA from 1 species